rnacentral:rRNA from 1 species
GGAGGGCGCAAGCGUUGUUCGGAAUUACUGGGCGUAAAGGGCAGGUAGGUGGUCUGUUAAGUCUUCUGUGAAAAUCCGGGGCUCAACCCCGUGAAAUGCAGGUGAAACUGGCAGACUUGAGACCGGUAGAGGCUAGCGGAAUUCCUGGUGUAGCGGUGGAAUGCGUAGAUAUCAGGAAGAACACCCGUGGCGAAGGCGGCUAGCUGGGCCGGUUCUGACACUGAACUGCGAAAGCGUGGGGAGCGAACAGGAUUAGAUACCCUGGUAGUCCACGCCGUAAACGAUGGGCACUAGAUGCCCGGGCAUAUAGACGUGUUCGGUGUCGCAGCUAACGCAUUAAGUGCCCCCGCCUGGGGAGUACGGUCGCAAGGCUG